rnacentral:lncRNA from 1 species
UCUCUAUUGUUUCUUGAGUUGUUCUUGACUCAUUACUAAGUUGUUCUUGACUUGUUCAUGCCUUCGGGUACGUGAUCCAGGAUGCAUAUAAGGAGGUUUUAAGGCUCGAUAUACAUUUUGACCCCUUCCCUAAGAGCUUAAGCUUUUAGGGUCUAGGGGUCAGUUGCUGGUACCAAUUUUAUAUCAUUAUAAUAUCUCUAAAUACAAUUUUAUUACUCAUGUUCUGUAGAAUAUUGGGAUCAAGCAUAUGAAAAAUUUCAGGCCAAAUCUUGCUUUGAAGCGAGAUGAUGCACAGGUAGGUUUUCCAGAAAAGGUGCAUAAGUUCCAAUCUUACAAGGCAAAUAUUGGAAGAAAAAUAUUUAUUGAGAACAAUGGAAAAAGGGGAGGAGGUAUAACUAAACUUUAAGCUUGAUAAUGGAUGAGCUUAUGCCAACAACUAUUAGCACGGUUGGUUGGCACCUCUCCCCUAAGCACUAGUCCUUGGAGGAGGUCCAGGGUUCAAAGAAUUUCAAUUUUGUUAAAGGAGGUUCUUGCUAUCUAGAUUAUUUGGUACUCGGAGGAAUGUUACAUGUAGCAAAGGAUUUUUCUCUUGACAUGAUGAUAAGCAAGGUACGCUAUCUAGAUAUCGGGCCCCAUACUGGUGCCAUAGUAUCAUUGUAUCGGUAUGGUACGAUAUGGGGCUGGUUUGGCAUACCGAGUGUCAGUACGCCUCCCAUGCCGUGUACCGGACUGAAUCGAUAUGGUACGUAUGCCCCGUACCACACGGUUCGGUACAGUACGGCGAACCUUGAUGAUAAGAGUUAAGUAGGAUAUCUCAUAAGACAUGUUUAAAUGGUCUUAAAGAAGUUUUCAAUAAAUAGAACAAGUUUGGAUUUGAAGCUGCUAAAGUGGACUUAAGAAAGAAGGAAAAGCUGCUAGGUGUAGCAUUGGAGGCUCUUAUCUAGUUUGGAAUAUUAAUUUCUCAAAAGUGGUUCCUUCAUCAACCUAUCAACUCUCUUUAAAACUUCUGCAUGAUUGAAGAUCAAGGAGAAUUUUCUUAAUGGAAGAAGAUAGAGAAAGGUUAAGCAACUUGAAAUUGGGACUUUUUCGUACUAAGUAUAACAUGCCUCUAAUGAGUAGAAAGCUAUGUUAUUUAAUCAAUGAUUCAUUUGUGACUAAAGAAUUUUGUUUUUUUAUUUCUUUUUCUGAUAUCUAGAAGAGGAGGGCGCCCAGCUAAAGUUGAGGCAUAGGUAGGAUUUGAAACCUGGGUCACUAGUAUCAACAUCUUAUAACUUUAUCCAAGGCCAAUUGUCUCAAGCCGAACUGCUUGGUUCAAGGCAUACCAACCUGCUCCAGGCAGAAAUCAGAUCAAGAUGCAGGUUCGGUUCAGAACAAGCUACGAACCAACUUGAACUAAGCAGAACCAGCAGAUUCUACUCGAUUCAGGACAAUUCGCUGCCUUUAUAACACUCUUGGACCGGAUAGUGAGUUGCCUUGCCUCCCGAUCACCACUUGCUACCCCUCGUGUUCAGCUAAGGUUAGGAUUUUGAUGCUGCCCCCACAGCGCUGCCACCUCUAAUGUCUACAGGUACUCGCUUCGUCCUCUCUCUCUCUCU